CCGCCUCCCCUCUCUAACCUGGAGGGAAGCCCAUUCUUAACCCCUUGUUUCCUGCAAACACAAUUCCAGCGCCUAGAACCUUCCUCCAGGGGCUUCUCUCCAACCCUGUGAGCCUUUUGGAGAUAGCUCCUAAGAUGUUGCUAGCUCCCCAGGGGCUCAACUGCUGGGUCCAACCUCUGUCAAAGAGGAAUGGAUCAGGGCUGGCCUCCUACAAUCCGGCUGUACGCGUGAAUGCUUUUCCAUCGCCGAAUAAAUACCUGUGAGCACUUACUGUGUGCCAGGCGACUUCGUCAUAGAUCCCUGCCCUUCUGGUAGCAGGCAGACAGCUGGAAACAUCGCUUUGUUUUGUCAGGGAGUCCAAAGAAAUGACUGUCUAAGCAGCAUUCAUCUUUCUUCCCAAGAAGGGUUUUUUUAAGUAAACACCUUUCACCCCGCAACACAAGCUGCUUCGUAUCUCCUGUCUAGAAGACAGGAGACUGGUCUGGUGUGUUUCUCUCAUUUGCCAGAAUUCCUGAUACCCAAAGCCUGGCUGUACUGAGCCUAUCUAGAGGCAGAGAGCGGAGUCCCAAUUUAGGGUUUAGCUCUGAUCCAGGGUGGGUAAAGGCUGCCCUCUUGUGGUGGUUUUUAGUUCAGUCCCAGUAGCCAAAAAUAGGUGCAAAAUUUGGUUUAACAAUAGAUGAGCAAAAAUAGGGUUGACUGAGCAUUUGGGAGUUACCCGAGUUACACUCGUUUUAUUGCCCUCUCUCCCUUGAAUUGGCCAGCAGUAGCUCCAACGCCAUUUAGCAAAAGUGAGUUUGGCCAGGAGGAGUGAAACGUCCCCUGCAUCAGGAAAGCCGGCCUAGAGUGCUCUCCUGUCGUCACUAUGAAGCCAAUUCCUGCACCCCAUGUUGUGAAAGAAGCUGAAGUAGUUAACUAGACUCCUGAGAGGAGACAGCCAGGCAUCUUUCUUUGGGGGGAGUGCUGCAGCCAUGGUUCAGGUAGAUGGGAUGCGUAAGUCACCAUUCAGAGUCUACGUAUCCACAAAUGAGAUAAUGCCCCUGAAAUGCCCAGUGACAGGACCUGGCCCAUGGCAAGCUGUCAAGUUUUUUUUUUCACUUAAUUUAUAACAUUUCUUGCUUCUCCAGUACACAGAAAGCACCAUGCUGUGUACAGAGCAAAACACAGUUCUUCUCUUAUAGAAGGUUAGAAUCUGAUAUGGACGGACACGAUUCUGAGAAUCAACAUAAAUAUCUGGGGUUUGAGAAAUGAGUGGGUUCCCACCGGUGGGCUUGGGGAGACAAGAUUGCCAGGAAGCAGGAGCAGUGAGAGGAAAGGCCUGGACUGGGGGGUGGGCAGGGUAAAUCAGGGCUGGCUUCAGAUGUAGCCCAGCUCUAGAAAGCUGAGGAUGGUGGGGGUGGGGAGAGAGACACUGGGAAGAUGGGCAGGGACCAGACGGUGGGUAGAGAUGGAGGGCGUGUCAGGGAAUUUUGACUUUAUUUGGUAGACAAUGCGGAAUCCUUAAGUGUUUUUUAAAGGGGGAAAAUAAGGUGAUUGGAGUUAUGCUUGGAAAAGAAUGUUCUGGCUGCGGCAUAGAGCGUGGAUGGCUGGCCCAUUGAACUAUGGGUAGGUUAUUGCAGUAACCAAGGCUUGAAGGAGGGGAGAGACAGAUGUAGUGAUAAAGAGAUUCCAGGAGGUGAGUCCUUCCAAGGUCCAGCCAUGCCUAGCUGCACAGAAAGAGAACUGACCCCAGGCCAAUAGUCAUUGGCCCUAGAACACAGGAUUUUCUUGCCAAACACUCUCUCAGCAGCCACCUGCUUUGGGCUUCCAAAAGAAGGUCAGGUUUUGCCCUGAGUCCAAAACAAGUGAGAUCUCUGACCUAGAUCAUGGGGUAGACGGUUCCCGCCAGGAUGGGCAAGCUGGAUGUCCGGGCCCUUCACCCCUCCAGCAUCAGCCCCCAGGCUGGCCUUUUAAUUCAUGCCCUUAGGAAAACCGACCAUGUUUGCUUAUAUAUUUCCAUCGCCACUGCCCCUGACCUGCAGGAUGUCACUGUGCCCACCUUACCCUUAAAGCCUUCUUUCUGAAUUGGCAAGUUAAUCUGAGACUGCCUGCAGGUGACAAAGGGAAAAAAAUAUUCCUCUGGGCUUCCUACAUGACCUGUCCGUACUCCCUGUCUUCCCUCAACCCUCGUAAAGUCCCCCACAUCCAAAUGUGCUGUCUGACCGGAGAAUUAAAGGCUGGGAGCUCGGAUGGAGGCAAGCAGAUUGGAGAGGCUGAGGGAGGGGCCCGGCCCCCAGGGACUCGACCCAGAUGGUCCCCGCCAACCUGAAUUUGGCCUUUGGGGGCUGACACCAGCCUCUGCUCUUUCUCUCAUACCUGCCCUGUCCUCGGUCCACUGCCCGUCCCUACCUGGUGUCAAAAGCUGCCUCUCCCCAACAGUGACGUGUCUCAGAUGUGAGGACCUAGGUAAACGUUUGCCCCUGGAGGCAGGUCUGUCUGGAGGGUCUGUUCUCUACUAAUACUUAUCAAAGCCACAGGCAAGGGAGGCGGUCUGCAGUCCAUAUGCCUCAGGAUGUGUCUGAGUUGGUUUUGACCCGGAAUAUCUGAACAGCUCUGAACAAGCAGGGCAUGUCUCUCUGGUCCAGGACAGAGCCCCUUCUUAACCAGGUGGCCCUGGCGGGCAGUAACAAAUCUGCCCUAAGAUGCUGCCUUCCACAAUCUUCUAGAAAAUCACUCCAGGCCAUCACAGUGCCCAGCCUUGGUUCCUAAGUUCUAGGAGACGCUAGUCCAGGGAUCUCUCAUCUCAGCACUUUUGGCUUUGGGGGCUGGAUCAUCCUUUGUGGGGGGGCUGUCUUGUGCAUUGUGGGAUGUUGAGCGCAUCCGUGGCCGCCACCCGCUAGAUGCUAGUAGCAGCCCCCACCAACUGUGACAACAAAGUACGUCUUCAAACGUUGCCACGUGUCCCUUGGGGGCAACAGAAUCUCUACUGGCUGCCCAGGCCUUCUCAUCACGGACCUUGUGGAGUAAGCAGUGCGUCUCAUCUCCUCAGCCCGAUGGUUUUUUCCAUUAUCUGAUGCCCAACUGAGGCCUGAAGGCUUUUGAGGGGGAAUAAAAAGUGUGUUUUCACAAACUCCCACCCAUGGAAGGAUGACAGUUCCAUUUCUGUAAGAUGCUGUGCCCUUGGUGUCUGUUCUGAUUAAGACCCAUGGAGGCCCAGUGCCUUCCGUGCCCCUUGCCCUGCUCCUGCCCUGUUUUCCUCGUUGUUGUGUUGUCAUGGUGAUUGUAAGACCCACUCCGGGCUCAGCAGUGGUUUUCCGGAAGGCGCGGUCGGUCGCUCCUCGUUGCUGUCCCCAUGGGUUUCCCUUCAGGGUUGGGGAAGUGGGAGGUGGCCAGAGCGGGAGUCGCCUCUCCCCACACACACGCUGUCAGAACUCGGACUUCCCCUACCUCUGAGCUCUCGAUGCUGCUAAUCUCCGCCAAGUGUCCCGUGUGCUCCAGCACCUUCCUCUAAGGACUGACGCCCGCCCCAUGCUCUCUGCGAGGUUGUCCAGGCUGUGUUCGCCGCAUGCUCUUCUUCUGUAUAGUUCUCAUCUUCUGAUUUGAUGGAAUUCAACAAAAGUCUACUUAUGCCUGUUUGCAUUAUGGUUAAAACAUUAAAAAGUGGACUC
ensembl:lncRNA